rnacentral:lncRNA from 1 species
CUGGUGUCACCUCUUUGCCACCUAAGUUUUCUGAAGUCUGCGGUGGUGGGGUGGGGUGGCCAUACCGUGACCUCUAGGGGUCUAUCUGGUGAGGAGGAUCCCUAAGAGGGGCUAGGGGCUUGCUGGCCUUCUGAAGGCCAUGAUCGACUGGGAGUUGGGGUGACAGACCCCUGUGGUGCACUGCCCCACCUCACCCCUCUGGGCUCUGUCCUGGGAGGUCAGGACUGUCCUCCCCAGGGACCCAUGCCCCUCCCCCAUGCUCUGCCCCUCUGGCCCUAGCUUCUGCCCAUCUCCCCUUCCUGAGGAGCCCAGCCCAGCCACACCUGGGGAUCAGCAGUGUUUAUAGGUAACCCUCAUGGGGACAGGGGCAGGCCUGGGAAGGACUCUCAACAGAAACCUGGCAACCGGGGGCCUCCUUGCGUCUGCAGUGCCUAGGCAACUGUUGCGGUGAUGCCGGCCUGUUGACUCUGGACACUCCGCAUCCAUGGUGCAGGGCCACCUCCUACACGCCCUCCUGAGGCCAGCCAUCUGACCGUGGAGAGCAGUCUCUGGGAUAUACGUCAUGUCCAGCAAGGGAGUCCUUCAGUGACCCCAGGAUGGGGCUGCUUCUCUCUAGCUGAGCAAUCCUUCCAGAGGGAACUGAGCAGGGAGGGGACGGGCCUGCAGUGUCCCCUCCUGUGGCCCCGGGAUGCUGGACUCCUCAGUGGCAGAUCAACUGACCCGACUGACCCUGAAACUCCUCGAGAAGAAACUGGAGCAAGAGCGUGAGGAUGUGGAGGGGGCCUCUGAGGACCCCCAUGAUGUGCCAGGAGAUGAGGACGGGCCAGAGGCUGCCCUGCGGAGCGCUCUGAGGAUGAGGAAGGACCUUCUGCAGAGACUCUGGGUAGGCCUUGUGGACAUGGGGCGUCUUCACCAGAGCUCUGUGCAGCUGAAGCUGCGGCUGGCGCUCAGAACGAGCACUGGGGUGGGGUGGCGGGUAGGGGAUGGGGGUGAAGGUGGGGUUGUGGUGGGGGUCCUGCACCCACUCUGCUUCUGAUGUUUGUGACGUGGCGGUGGGCAACUGGUGGACCAUGGACUCCACAGGAGAGAGGACUCACCCGCUUCCUGUAGGCUGGGCUCUCACAGGGGCUACUCACUGAGAAGUCCUGUUCUGGCUGCGUAUGAUCAGAAGCGAAAUGCCCUGUGAAGGGUCCGGUUCUGGGAAGUGGGAUUCCAAGAUGCCCAGGGCUUUGUCCAAACAGACACACUUGUAGCAGGGAAUGACAACGUUGGGGGAGGAGGGUGUUUGGGUCCACAUGGCAGCUGUGAUAAACUUACUGCUCUGCACUGGAAGCGUGCUGGAGAGACAGAGUAUCCUCUACCAGCUUCCCUCAUAGCUAAGUCGGUAAAGAAUCCGCCUGCAAUGCAGGAGACCCC